rnacentral:rRNA from 1 species
CCUACGGGUGGCAGCAGUAGGGAAUAUUGGUCAAUGGGGGAAACACUGAAGCAGCAACGCCGCGUGGAGGAUGAAGGUUUUCGGAUUGUAAACUCCUUUUGUUAGAGAAGAUAAUGAUGGUAUCUGACGAAUAAGCACCGGCUAACUCCGUGACAGAAGCCGCGGUAAUACGGAGGGUGCAAGCGUUAAUCGGAAUCACUGGGCGUAAGGAGCGCGUAGGCGGGAUAGCAAGUCAGAUGUGAAAUCCUAUGGCUUAACCAUAGAACUGCAGUUGAAACUGUUAUUCUACAGUAUGGGAGAGGUAGGUGGAAUGCUUGGUGUAGGGGUAAAAUCCGUAGAUAUCAAGAGGAAUACUCAUUGCGAAGGCGACCUGCUAGAACAUAACUGACGCUGAUGCGCGAAAGCGUGGGGAGCAAACAGGAUUAGAUACCCGGGUAGUC